rnacentral:rRNA from 1 species
AGUGAACGCUGGCGGUAGGCCUAACACAUGCAAGUCGAACGGCAGCACAGGAGAGCUUGCUCUCUGGGUGGCGAGUGGCGGACGGGUGAGGAAUACAUCGGAAUCCACCUUUUCGUGAGGGAUAACGUAGGGAAACUUACGCUAAUACCGCAUACGACCUACGGGUGAAAGCAUGGGACCUUCGGACCUUGCGCGAUUGAAUGAGCCGAUGUCGGAGUAGCUAGUUGGCGGGGUAAAGGCCCACAAAGGCGACGGUCCGUAGCUGGUCUGAGAGGAUGAUCAGCCACACUGGAACUGAGACACGGUCCAGACUCCUACGGGAGGCAGCAGUGGGGAAUAUUGGACAAUGGGCGCAAGCCUGAUCCAGCCAUACCGCGUGGGUGAAGAAGGCCUUCGGGUUGUAAAGCCCUUUUGCUGGGAAAGAAAUCCAGCUGGCUAAUACCCGGUUGGGAUGACGGUACCCAAAGAAUAAGCACCGGCUAACUUCGUGCCAGCAGCCGCCGUAA